rnacentral:rRNA from 1 species
CUGGGUUUGACAUAUGCCGGAAAGCCGUAGAGAUACGGCCCCUUUUAGUCGGUAUACAGGUGGUGCAUGGCUGUCGUCAGCUCGUGUCGUGAGAUGUUGGGUUAAGUCCCGCAACGAGCGCAACCCUCGUUCUAUGUUGCCAGCAAGCCCGCAAGGGUGUUGGGGACUCAUAGGAGACUGCCGGGGUCAACUCGGAGGAAGGUGGGGGAAUGACGUCAAGUCAUCAUGCCCCUUAUGUCCAGGGCUUCACGCAUGCUACAAUGGCCGGUACAAAGGGCUGCGAUGCUGUAAGGCGGAGCGAAUCCCAAAAAGCCGGUCUCAGUUCCGGAUUUGGGGGUCUGCAACUCGACCCCAUGAAGUCGGAGUCGCUAGUAAUCGCAGAUCAGCAACGCUGCGGUGA